UACGUAGGGGGCAAGCGUUGUCCGGAUUUAUUGGGCGUAAAGAGCUCGUAGGUGGUUCGGUAAGUCGGAUGUGAAAUCUCCAGGCUCAACCUGGAGGGGUCAUUCGAUACUGCCGUGACUAGAGGUCGGUAGGGGAGUGUGGAAUUCCUGGUGGAGCGGUGAAAUGCGCAGAUAUCAGGAGGAACACCGGUGGCGAAGGCGGGUCUCUGGGCAGUAACUGACGCUGGAGGAGCGAAAGCGUGGGGAGCGAACAGG
rnacentral:rRNA from 1 species